rnacentral:rRNA from 1 species
AUUGAACGCUGGCGGCAUGCCUUACACAUGCAAGUCGAACGGUAACAGGUUAAGCUGACGAGUGGCGAACGGGUGAGUAAUGUAUCGGAACGUGCCCAGUCGUGGGGGAUAACUACUCGAAAGAGUGGCUAAUACCGCAUACGACCUGAGGGUGAAAGCGGGGGACCGUAAGGCCUCGCGCGAUUGGCGCGGCCGAUAUCAGAUUAGCUAGUUGGUGGGGUAAAAGCCCACCAAGGCGAAGAUCUGUAGCUGGUCUGAGAGGACAACCAGCCACACUGGGACUGAGACACGGCCCAGACUCCUACGGGAGGCAGCAGUGGGGAAUUUUGGACAAUGGACGCAAGUCAGAUCCAGCCAUGCCGCGUGCGGGAAGAAGGCCUUCGGGUUGUAAACCGCUUUUGUCAGGGAAGAAGCGAGUUUCUCUAAUACAGAGACUUAAUGACGGUACCUGAAGAAUAAGCACCGGCUAACUACGUGCCAGCAGCCGCGGUAACAC